rnacentral:rRNA from 1 species
UACGUAGGGGGGCUAGCGUUGUCCGGAAUCAUUGGGCGUAAAGAGCGUGUAGGCGGUCCGGUAAGUCCGCUGUGAAAGUCGGGGGCUCAACCCUCGAAUGCCGGUGGAUACUGUCGGGCUAGAGUGCGGAAGAGGCGAGUGGAAUUCCUGGUGUAGCGGUGAAAUGCGCAGAUAUCAGGAGGAACACCUAUUGCGAAGGCAGCUCGCUGGGACGUAACUGACGCUGAGACGCGAAAGCGUGGGGGGAGCAAACAGG